rnacentral:rRNA from 1 species
UACGUAGGGUGCGAGCGUUAAUCGGAAUUACUGGGCGUAAAGCGUGCGCAGGCGGUUCGUUGUGUCGGCGGUGAAAGCCCCGGGCUUAACCUGGGAAUGGCCGUCGAAACUGGCGAACUGGAGUGUGGCAGAGGGGGGUGGAAUUCCGCGUGUAGCAGUGAAAUGCGUAGAGAUGCGGAGGAACACCGAUGGCGAAGGCAGCCCCCUGGGCUGACACUGACGCUCAGGCACGAAAGCGUGGGGAGCAAAAGGG